rnacentral:lncRNA from 1 species
CUGCUAUUCAGGUAAGGAUUUCACCUUAUUCAUGUAGAUUUGUAAAAAUUUUUUUGAUGCAACUCUGAUAAUCGGCAAAGAAACAGAUUUUCUUCCCUUCAUGACUGGCACAAAUUUUAAGGAUUGGCUUAGAAACCUCAGGAUAGUCUUGACACCUGAGAAAAUUGGGUAUAUACUCGACCAGGACACCCCAGCAUUACUAGCCCAUUCUACAACAAAGCAAAAAGCUGCUCUACAUAAGUAGACGGAUGAUGAUCUUAUGGUGAAGUGUUAUAUGCUGGCUUCUAUGUCAAAUGAGUUGCAGAGCC